rnacentral:rRNA from 1 species
AGUGAACGCUGGCGGUAGGCCUAACACAUGCAAGUCGAACGGCAGCACAGUAAGAGCUUGCUCUUACGGGUGUCGAGUGGCGGACGGUUGAGGAAUACUUCGGAAUCUACUUUUUCGUGGGGGAUAACGUAGGGAAACUUACGCUAAUACCGCAUACGACCUACGGGUGAAAGCAGGGGAUCUUCUGACCUUGCGCGAUUGAAUGAGCCGAUGUCGGAUUAGUUAGUUGGCGGGGUAAAGGCCCACCAAGGCGACGAUCCGUAGCUGGUCUGAGAGGAUGAUCAGCCACACUGGAACUGAGACACGGUCCAGACUCCUACGGGAGGCAGCAGUGGGGAAUAUUGGACAAUGGGCGCAAGCCUGAUCCAGCCAUACCGCGUGGGUGAAGAAGGCCUUCGGGUUGUAAAGCCCUUUUGUUGGGAAAGAAAAGCAGCAGGUUAAUACCCCGCUGUUCUGACGGUACCCAAAGAAUAAGCACCGGCUAACUUCGUG